GGCCGCGGCUGGCGACAGCCAGGGGAUGGGCUGCGCUCGGGCAGCUGCAGCCCUGAGGAGUUUUCUGCCAAAUAAGGGAAGAGACUCUUUCCCUCUGUGCUGGCACUGCUGAGGGACCGCAAAUCCUAGGAGAACACCACAGGGUGUAUUCACUUCCCUCUGGAUUUCCUGCGAGAUAAUUGUGAAGCCAUAAAGAUGUUUCCACAUUUUAUGGCCAUUCCUCUUCAUCCUGUCACUGGGCACCACCAGAAAGAAUCUGGCACCAUCCUCCUGCACCCCUUGG